CCAUAGUUGCCUGCCCCUUCAGUCC
rnacentral:piRNA from 1 species